rnacentral:rRNA from 1 species
CCUACGGGUGGCAGCAGUCGGGAAUUUUGGGCAAUGGGCGAAAGCCUGACCCAGCAACGCCGCGUGAAGGAUGAAGUAUUUCGGUAUGUAAACUUCGAAAGAAUGGGAAGAAUCAAUGACGGUACCAUUUAUAAGCUCCGGCUAACUACGUGCCAGCAGCCGCGGUAAUACGUAGGGAGCAAGCGUUGUUCGGAUUUACUGGGCGUAAAGGGCGCGUAGGCGGCAAUUCAAGUCAUCUGUGAAAUCUCCGGGCUUAACCCGGAACGGUCAGAUGAUACUGCUUUGCUAGAGUGCGGAAGGGGCAAUCGGAAUUCUUGGUGUAGCGGUGAAAUGCGUAGAUAUCAAGAGGAACACCUGAGGUGAAGACGGGUUGCUGGGCCGACACUGACGCUGAUAGCGCGAAAGCCAGGGGAGCAAACGGGAUUAGAUACCCGAGUAGU